rnacentral:rRNA from 1 species
UACCGCUUGUGCGGGCCCCCGUCAAUUCCUUUGAGUUUUAGCCUUGCGGCCGUACUCCCCAGGCGGGGCGCUUAAUGCGUUAGCUACGGCACAGAAGACGUGGAAGCCCCCUACACCUAGCGCCCACCGUUUACGGCAUGGACUACCAGGGUAUCUAAUCCUGUUCGCUACCCAUGCUUUCGCUCCUCAGCGUCAGUUACUGCCCAGAGACCUGCCUUCGCCAUCGGUGUUCCUCCUGAUAUCUGCGCAUUUCACCGCUACACCAGGAAUUCCAGUCUCCCCUACAGCACUCAAGUUAUGCCCGUAUCGCCUGCACGCCCGAAGUUAAGCCCCGGGAUUUCACAGACGACGCGACAAACCACCUACGAGCUCUUUACGCCCAGUAAUUCCGGACAACGCUUGCACCCUACGUAUUACCGCGGCUGCUGGCACGUAGUUAGCCGGUGCUUCUUAUCUACCUACCGUCACCACCAAAGGUGGCUUCGUCGAUAGCGAAAGGAGUUUACAACCCGAAGGCCGUCAUCCCCCACGCGGCGUCGCUGCAUCAGGCUUGCGCCCAUUGUGCAAUAUUCCCCACUGCUGCCUCCCGUAGGAGUCUGGGCCGUAUCUCAGUCCCAAUGUGUCCGUACACCCUCUCAGGCCGGAUACCCGUCGCCGCUUGGUAGGCCAUUACCCCACCAACAAGCUGAUAGGCCGGAGGCUCAUCCA